UACGAAGGGGGCUAGCGUUGCUCGGAAUGACUGGGCGUAAAGGGCGCGUAGGCGGAUUGCUUUGUCGGGCGUGAAAUUCCAGGGCUUAACCUUGGGGCUGCGUUCGAGACGGGUGAUCUUGAGUUCGGAAGAGGGUCGUGGAAUUCCCAGUGUAGAGGUGAAAUUCGUAGAUAUUGGGAAGAACACCGGUGGCGAAGGCGGGUCUCUGGGCCGAUACUGACGCUGAGGAGCGAAAGCAUGGGUAGCGAACAGG
rnacentral:rRNA from 1 species